AGUACGAUCGCAAGAUUAAAACUCAAAGGAAUUGACGGGGCCCCGCACAAGCAGCGGAGCAUGCGGCUUAAUUCGACGCAACGCGAAGAACCUUACCAAGGCUUGACAUAUACAGGAAUAUGGCAGAGAUGUCAUAGCCGCAAGGUCUGUAUACAGGUGGUGCAUGGUUGUCGUCAGCUCGUGUCGUGAGAUGUUGGGUUAAGUCCCGCAACGAGCGCAACCCUCGUUCUGUGUUGCCAGCAUUUAGUUGGGGACUCACAGAAGACUGCCGGGGUUAACUCGGAGGAAGGUGGGGAUGACGUCAAAUCAUCAUGCCCCUUAUGUCUUGGGCUGCACGCAUGCUACAAUGGCUGGUACAAACGGCUGCGAUACCGCAAGGUGGAGCGAAUCCGAUAAAGCCAGUCUCAGUUCGGAUUGGGGUCUGCAACUCGACCCCAUGAAGUCGGAGUUGCUAGUAAUCGUAGAUCAGCAACGCUACGGUGAAUACGUUCCCGGGGCUUGUACACACCGCCCGUCACAUCACGAAAGUCGGUAACACCCAAAGUCAGUGGCCCAACCGCAAGGAGGGAGCUGCCAAAGGUGGGAUCGGUGAUUGGGAUG
rnacentral:rRNA from 1 species